GCGCCCGGACCGCGGGCAGCCGAACCCGCCCCUGUCCGCCCGCGCCCUAGUCUCCUACUGGUGGAGGUGUGCGGCCCCCUAGCGGGGGAGAAGGGGCAGUGCGGACGCGGGAGAGAGCUGCUGCUGGGCGCGGGUAUAAGAAAGGUCCCUCCUCACCCUCAGCCUGGGCCUGGUCCCCAGAGCCAGCGGUGACUUGGCUUGAGCGUCAGAGGCUGGAAACGCGGCCACAGCUCCAGCACACUACCACAGUAGUAGCUUCUGGAGGCCACUCAUAGUCACCACCUGUCGUAAAGGGGGAACUCGACGAUGAAGGAGCCUUGAAGGAAUUCGCGUCCAGGCCUGCAAGUCUCCUUUUCAGAGCCCUUGAAGAAUGUGAAGAAUGGGAAAAUACCACACCUUUGAGGACAGCAGUGUUUGGCUCCUUGCCUAAGGACAGAGGCAGGUCUUGUACCAAACAAGGAUGUACAGACAACUAAAAAGUAUGCUAAGAAAGAGGAUUCAGAAAAUGGUAGUGAUGCCUUGGCUCACUACAAGUCAACAGAGAGCAUGAAUUCUAUAGACAGAAGAGAAGAUUUGGACACCCAGAGACACCAGGAAUAUAUGCACACAGAGGAAAGAUCAUACGAGGACACAGCAAGAAGGAGGCCAUCUGAUCUUGUACUUCCAGACUCCAGAUUUGUAGGAAAAUAAAUUUCUGUUGCUUAAGCUA